rnacentral:misc_RNA from 1 species
UUUCCGUAGGUGAACCUGCGGAAGGAUCAUUAUUGAAUAACCAAAGUGCAGGAACUCUCCCUGGCCCGGCCGGCCGUAGAAGCCCGCAAAACCUCAAGCACCUCCAUCUCACCCCUAUGUUCACCCCAGCGUGGGUCGCUCUUUGUCUUGUUCGGAGCAGGGCUUACGAUUUCACACACACUUUGUGUGCAGUGUAGAUUAUCUUUUUUGUUUUUGAGAUUACGUGAUCACUACCACUUUUGACAACGGUUCUCUUGGCUCUCUCAGCGCUGAAGAACA